AUUGAACGCUGGCGGCAUGCUUUACACAUGCAAGUCGAACGGCAGCGCGGGCUUCGGCCUGGCGGCGAGUGGCGAACGGGUGAGUAAUGCAUCGGAACGUGCCCAGUAGUGGGGGAUAGCCCGGCGAAAGCCGGAUUAAUACCGCAUACGACCUGAGGGUGAAAGCGGGGGACCGAAAGGCCUCGCGCUAUAGGAGCGGCCGAUGUCGGAUUAGCUAGUUGGUGGGGUAAAGGCUUACCAAGGCGACGAUCCGUAGCUGGUCUGAGAGGACGACCAGCCACACUGGGACUGAGACACGGCCCAGACUCCUACGGGAGGCAGCAGUGGGGAAUUUUGGACAAUGGGGGCAACCCUGAUCCAGCCAUGCCGCGUGCGGGAAGAAGGCCUUCGGGUUGUAAACCGCUUUUGUUCGGGAAGAAAUCCUCUGGGCUAAUACCCCGGGGGGAUGACGGUACCGGAAGAAUAAGCACCGGCUAACUACGUG
rnacentral:rRNA from 1 species